UUAAAGUUUGAUUUGUUCUUUAUUUCUUGUAUUCAGUGUUGAACUUGUAUGAGAGUCAAGGCAGGUAGCAAGUAACAACUCAAGAUUUCCCAAGUUGUCAGUCAGUAACCAUAUCAUGAUCGACAAUUCUCAGCAUAUAAUGUUAGACAAUUUAGAAAGCUAAGAUCUAGCAACACCUUAAGGCCUGAUCAAUAUUGUGCCAGCAGUCGCGGUUACACUCUAAGGUCAAAUAAGAAAUAUUGGUUUACUGUUAAACGAAAACUGAUUGAUAAAAGUCUAGAAGAAUAAAAGAGUGAAAUCGGAUUUUCUUUAUAUAGGGCUAUGAUUAAUAAUUGAUUUAAGUUGAAGCAGGAAAAUACUAGGCAUAAACUAGGAUUAGAUACCCUAUUAUACUAGAGAAUAAUUUCACAUAACCAAAGUAAUAAUAGUUAUAUACUAAAAAUUUGAAUGAUUUGGCGGUGAUUUAGUCUAGUCAGAGGAACCUGUUUUUGAAUCGAUACACCACGAACAAUCUUACUUAAAUUUGUAAAGUAUGUAUACCAUCAUUAUUAGGUAAUUUUUAUAGAAUUAAUUACUGGGUAAUAUAUAAUCAAUAAUGUUAAAUAUAUUAGAUCAAGGUGCAGCUUAUAUUUAAGUUAAAAUGGGUUACAAUAAAAUUUAUUUAUACGAAAUUGCGGCUUAAAUGCUGUUCAGAAGGAGGAUUUGAUUGUAAAAUUAGUUUAAUAUGCUAAUUAGAUAUAAGCUCUAAAUCAUGUACAUAUCGCCCGUCGCUUUCAUUUUAUAAUGAGAUAAGUCGUAACAUAGUAGGCUUACUGGAAAGUGAGUCUGGACAGGAGA
rnacentral:ncRNA from 1 species